rnacentral:rRNA from 1 species
AUACUUAGGGUGCAAGCGUUAAUCGGAAUUACUGGGCGUAAAGCGCUCGUAGGCGGCUUGUAAAGUCGGAUGUGAAAUCCCCGGGCUUAACCUGGGAACUGCAUUCGAUACUGGCAAGCUAGAGUAUAGUAGAGGCAAGUGGAAUUCCGGGUGUAGCGGUGAAAUGCGUAGAUAUCCGGAGGAACAUCAGUGGCGAAGGCGACUUGCUGGACUAAUACUGACGCUGAGGAGCGAAAGCGUGGGGAGCAAACGGAAUUAGAAACCCCAGUAGUCC